GUGAAAGUAUGAAAGUUUAAGAGAGAAACAAAACAAAAUUGUGACCUAAGGAGAAAAACAACAGAAUGGCAAGUCGAAGGUUCACUAAAUUGAAGAAACAGCAAGAGACGCAGAAGAAAGAUAGAAAAAGUAUAGGCUGAAGCACAUGCUUGCAAGAAAGUUACAACAGAAGAAUUGCCGAGACAAAUUCUUAGUACAUGUACAGAAGAA